GGAGAAGAGCUCUGAGCCCAGGAGCACAGAAAGGCCAGUGCCACAGUGAGCACUUGCUGUCCGCAUCUAAGGAGCUGUCAGGCUCCUCUGGGGUGUCUGCCCAGCCACAGUCCGCAGUCCCGCCUCUGUGGGUGCAGGGGGUGGUGGGCUGCCCAGGUUCCCAGCUCAUUUCUGUCCUCACAGCCUGGGCAGCCAGUACCGGAGCGUGCGGCAGAAGGCAGCUGGGAGCAAACGCACGCUGCAGCAGCGGUAUGAGGUGCUGAAGACUGAGAAUCCCGGAGAUGCCUCUGACCUACAGGGGCGGCAGCUGCUGGCUGGCUUGGAUAAGGUGGCCAGCGACCUGGACCGGCAGGAGAAGGCCAUCACAGGGAUCCUGCGGCCACCACUGGAGCAAGGCCGGGCUGUGCAGGACAGUGCCGAGCGGGCCAAGGACCUCAAGGUACCUGCGGGUCAGGAGCACAGGUGGAGCCGGGGGAGCCCUGCACUGGCCCCCUGGGGCCCCUAUUUGAGGUCUUUUCCCCAUGGAGUCUUGGGAUAUUCACUGCAGCUGUCUGACAGGGACAGCCUGCUGCAUGUAACCGGGUCCCGAGUCAUGGAGGUGGCAGGGCUGCUGUCAUUACCUCCCCAGGAGAAAGAGCUGGCAAGACUUGCAUUGUUCCUGCACGGCUUGUCGAUCUGACACCUGGCAUGGCACUUGGGCUGUGGAAUUCCGCAGGACUGGGUCACCGGCUGGCUUGACCGCACAUGUUAGCGUUUAUAUUUAUAAACUCCAGGCCUCAGUGUCUUCAGUAGGAUGGGUUGGCCCUGCUCACAGGGCAGUGGCGAGGACAGGGUGAGCUGAUGCUAGGGGGGACGUGGAGGGGCCACCUCCCCCCACCUCCUUUCCUAUACAAAG
rnacentral:sRNA from 1 species